rnacentral:rRNA from 1 species
GACGAACGCUGGCGGCGUGCUUAGCACAUGCAAGUCGAACGGAAAGGCCCUGCUUUUGUGGGGUGCUCGAGUGGCGAACGGGUGAGUAACACGUGAGUAACCUGCCCUUGACUUUGGGAUAACUUCAGGAAACUGGGGCUAAUACCGGAUAGGAGCUCCUGCUGCAUGGUGGGGGUUGGAAAGUUUCGGCGGUUGGGGAUGGACUCGCGGCUUAUCAGCUUGUUGGUGGGGUAGUGGCUUACCAAGGCUUUGACGGGUAGCCGGCCUGAGGGGGUGACCGGCCACAUUGGGACUGAGAUACGGCCCAGACUCCUACGGGAGGCAGCAGUGGGGAAUAUUGCACAAUGGGCGGAAGCCUGAUGCAGCAACGCCGCGUGCGGGAUGACGGCCUUCGGGUUGUAAACCGCUUUCGCCUGUGACGAAGCGUGAGUGACGGUAAUGGGUAAAGAAGCACCGGCUAACUACGUG